UACGUAGGGUGCAAGCGUUGUCCGGAUUUAUUGGGCGUAAAGAGCUCGUAGGCGGUUAAGUAAGUCAGGUGUGAAACCUCCAGCUCAACCUGGAGACGCCACUUGAUACUGCUUUGACUCGAGUUCGGUAGGGGUAAGCGGAAUUCCUGGUGUAGCGGUGGAAAUGACGCAGAUAUCAGGAGGAACACCGAUGGCGAAGGCAGCUUACUGGGCCGAUACUGACGCUGAGGAGCGAAAGCGUGGGGAGCGAACAGG
rnacentral:rRNA from 1 species